rnacentral:rRNA from 1 species
AGUGAACGCUGGCGGUAGGCCUAACACAUGCAAGUCGAACGGCAGCACAGUAAGAGCUUGCUCUUACGGGUGGCGAGUGGCGGACGGGUGAGGAAUACAUCGGAAUCUACUUUUUCGUGGGGGAUAACGUAGGGAAACUUACGCUAAUACCGCAUACGACCUACGGGUGAAAGCAGGGGAUCUUCGGACCUUGCGCGAUUGAAUGAGCCGAUGUCGGAUUAGCUAGUUGGCGGGGUAAAGGCCCACCAAGGCGACGAUCCGUAGCUGGUCUGAGAGGAUGAUUAGCCACAAUGGAACUUAGAAACGGUCCAGACUCCUACGGGAGGCAGCAGUGGGGAAUAUUGGGCAAUGGGCGGAAGCCUGAUCCAGCCAUACCGCGUGGGUGAAGAAGGCCUUCGGGUUGUAAAGCCCUUUUGUUGGGAAAGAAAAGCAGCAGGUUAAUACCCCGCUGUUCUGACGGUACCCAAAGAAUAAGCACCGGCUAACUUCGUG